rnacentral:other from 1 species
UAUACCCUGCUGUGUUCGUGAUGCGGCAUGUUCGGUUUUGGGCCAACACCCACAAUUUGGGUUCCAUUAUCUGCAGUAGUACCGCGAUAGGCCUCGGCCAAGGCGAAGCUACUGGGGCGGGACCCUACCUGCGCAAGCAGGUUCAAAACUGCGCAGCACACGGCAUGGCGGGGGCUUU